rnacentral:rRNA from 1 species
UACGGAGGUGGCAAGCGUUAUCCGGAAUUAUUGGGCGUAAAGCGUCCGUAGGUGGCUAGUCAAGUCUGCGGUCAAAGACUGGGGCUUAACCCUGGAAAGGCCGUGGAAACUGACGAGCUAGAGUGCAGUAGGGGUAGAGGGAAUUCCCGGUGUAGCGGUGAAAUGCGUAGAGCUCGGGAAGAACAUCGGUGGCGAAAGCGCUCUACUGGACUGCAACUGACACUCAGGGACGAAAGCUAGGGGAGCGAAUGGG